AACGCACAUUGCGCCCCUCGGUAUUCCGUGGGGCAUGCCUGUUCGAGCGUCAUCUACACCCUCAAGCACAGCUUGGUGUUGGGCGUCUGUCCCGCCUCCGCGCGGCGACUCGCCCCAAAGGCAUUGGCAGCGGUCUCUUGCACCUCUCGCGCAGCACAUUGCGCUUCUCGAGGCGAGGCAGGCCGCGACCACGAAGCUUUUAUUCGUCUUUGACCUCGGAUCAGGUAGGGAUACCCGCUGAACUUAA
rnacentral:misc_RNA from 1 species